CCUACGGGCGGCAGCAGUGAGGAAUAUUGGUCAAUGGGCGCGAGCCUGAACCAGCCAAGUAGCGUGAAGGAUGACUGCCCUACGGGUUGUAAACUUCUUUUGUAAAGGGAUAAAGUGAGGCACGUGUGCCUUUUUGUAUGUACCUUAUGAAUAAGGAUCGGCUAAAUCCGUGCCAGCAGCCGCGGUAAUACGGAGGAUCCGAGCGUUAUCCGGAUUUAUUGGGUUUAAAGGGAGCGUAGAUGGGUUGUUAAGUCAGUUGUGAAAGUUUGCGGCUCAACCGUAAAAUUGCAAUUGAUACUGGCAGCCUUGAGUACAGUUGAGGUAGGCGGAAUUCGUGGUGUAGCGGUGAAAUGCUUAGAGAUCACGAAGAACUCCGAUUGCGAAGGCAGCUUACUAAGCUGCCACUGACAUUGAUGCUCGAAAGUGUGGGUAUCAAACAGGAUUAGAUACCCUAGUAGUC
rnacentral:rRNA from 1 species